UAGAGUUUGAUCAUGGCUCAGGACGAACGCUGGCGGCGUGCCUAAUACAUGCAAGUUGAGCGCUGAAGGUUGGUACUUGUACCGACUGGAUGAGCAGCGAACGGGUGAGUAACGCGUGGGGAAUCUGCCUUUGAGCGGGGGACAACAUUUGGAAACGAAUGCUAAUACCGCAUAAAAACUUUAAACACAAGUUUUAAGUUUGAAAGACGCAAUUGCAUCACUCAAAGAUGAUCCCGCGUUGUAUUAGCUAGUUGGUGAGGUAAAGGCUCACCAAGGCGAUGAUACAUAGCCGACCUGAGAGGGUGAUCGGCCACAUUGGGACUGAGACACGGCCCAAACUCCUACGGGAGGCAGCAGUAGGGAAUCUUCGGCAAUGGACGAAAGUCUGACCGAGCAACGCCGCGUGAGUGAAGAAGGUUUUCGGAUCGUAAAACUCUGUUGGUAGAGAAGAACGUUGGUGAGAGUGGAAAGCUCAUCAAGUGACGGUAACUACCCAGAAAGGGACGGCUAACUACGUGCCAGCAGCCGCGGUAAUACGUAGGUCCCGAGCGUUGUCCGGAUUUAUUGGGCGUAAAGCGAGCGCAGGUGGUUUAUUAAGUCUGGUGUAAAAGGCAGUGGCUCAACCAUUGUAUGCAUUGGAAACUGGUAGACUUGAGUGCAGGAGAGGGGAGUGGAAUUCCAUGUGUAGCGGUGAAAUGCGUAGAUAUAUGGAGGAACACCGGUGGCGAAAGCGGCUCUCUGGCCUGUAACUGACACUGAGGCUCGAAAGCGUGGGGAGCAAACAGGAUUAGAUACCCUGGUAGUCCACGCCGUAAACGAUGAGUGCUAGAUGUAGGGAGCUAUAAGUUCUCUGUAUCGCAGCUAACGCAAUAAGCACUCCGCCUGGGGAGUACGACCGCAAGG
rnacentral:rRNA from 1 species